rnacentral:lncRNA from 1 species
AACAGCAACGCGCAGUUUAGCAAGCACACAUUUUAUUCAUGGAUGAAAAUCCGGGAAAAAUGUCGGCGAGAAAAGAAAUAUGAGAUCUACUGGGCGUUCAUUAUACCACAGUAACGACGACGACGGUUACGAGGCGGAUGAUGAAAGUUUCGAAUGUUCACUUGUUCUGUCUUCACCGAAAGCUUCACCACUCCAUGAUACCUUCACUUUCUCUCAACCGGAAGUGCCUGUAAUACUUUUGAAAGCUGGAGGUCAAGUUAUUUCAUCCGGCAUGUAUCCCAUAUUUCUGGGAAGUAUUUAGAAACGAAAACCACUUAUUAAAUUUACAUCACAGGGUGAGAAAAAUAUGCAGUCAGUCUUUGGCUCAAACUAGAUACCCUUGCUUACAAGGCUUGUCCUUUACUGAAUUAGCCCUAUCACAUUUAAUCCAUUUUUUUUGUUAUCAGUCAGAGAACAAAUGAAACAGUGUUACUUUAAAGUAUUUAUUGGUCCUUCUUUGAAAAAAUGUAAAUACUUUUGUCUAAAUUAUGUAGUGACUGGCUAAAGUAUUUUUUCUUAAUUUAUUGAACAUUCAACACUCAGCUUUGAUAAUCGGUCACCUAAAUUAUAAAACAAACAUAUGUAUAAACAUAAUAAACAAUUUAACUAUUAUUGUAUUUUCGUAUCUUAAUACCAAUGUGUAAACGUUUCUUUUUAUUCAAUUUGAGUAUCAGAGACAUAAAACAGUUUGAAAACCAAUACUUCGUUUCAGCCAAAGUUACAAUAUCAUUGAAAAUCUUGUAUGCCCAAAGUUCGCAUUGUAUAUUGUCUAUGAAGAGAAAUGGUAAGAUAUGUAAUAAUAUAAUGAUA